AGAUUGAACGCUGGCGGCAGGCCUAACACAUGCAAGUCGAGCGGUAGAGAGGUGCUUGCAUCUCUUGAGAGCGGCGGACGGGUGAGUAAUGCCUAGGAAUCUGCCUAGUGGUGGGGGAUAACGUUCGGAAACGGACGCUAAUACCGCAUACGUCCUACGGGAGAAAGCGGGGGACCUUCGGGCCUCGCGCCAUUAGAUGAGCCUAGGUCGGAUUAGCUAGUUGGUGAGGUAAUGGCUCACCAAGGCGACGAUCCGUAACUGGUCUGAGAGGAUGAUCAGUCACACUGGAACUGAGACACGGUCCAGACUCCUACGGGAGGCAGCAGUGGGAAUAUUGGACAAUGGGCGAAAGCCUGAUCCAGCCAUGCCGCGUGUGUGAAGAAGGUCUUCGGAUUGUAAAGCACUUUAAGUUGGAGGAAGGUUGUAACUUAAUACGUUGCAACUUUGACGUUACGACAGAAUAAGCACCGGCUAACGUUCGUGCCAGCAGCCGUA
rnacentral:rRNA from 1 species